CCUACGGGGGGCUGCAGUGGGGAAUAUUGCGCAAUGGGGGAAACCCUGACGCAGCAACGCCGCGUGAGUGAGGAAGGACUUCGGUCUGUAAAGCUCUGUUAAUGUGGAAAAAUGGUAGGCGGUCUAAUAGGCCGUUUAUUUGAUGGUACACAUAGAGGAAGCACCGGCUAACUUCGUGCCAGCAGCCGCGGUAAUACGAAGGGUGCAAGCGUUGGUCGGAUUUAUUGGGCGUAAAGCGCGCGUCAGCGGUGAAAUCUCGGGGCUCAACCUCGAAACUGCGUCUGAAACUACAGGUCUAGAAUCUUGGAGGGGGAAGGGGAAUUUCACAUGUAGGGGUAAAAUCCGUAGAUAUGUGAAGGAACACCAGAGGCGAAGGCGCCUUCCUGGACAAGUAUUGACGCUGAGGCGCGAAAGCGUGGGGAUCAAACAGGAUUAGAUACCCGGGUAGUC
rnacentral:rRNA from 1 species